UGUGACCUUAGAAAACACACAGAGAAAUUAAAAUAACGUUCAGGACCACAUCAACCACAGGGGCCUGAAAGUGCUCCACACCCAAGAGCAGCCUCACAUGAGGGCAGCCAGCACCGGAGAGCCUCGGGGCCAAAGGAGGUCCUGGAUUGUUUAGCAAUGCUGCUGGAGUCCUUAGGAUCACUUGCAGCCUGGGGACAUGAACACCACCACUGGACAGCCAGGGGAGAACCCGAACUUCCACAGCAGAACCAGACCACCCAUACGACCACUGCUUUUGAGAGCACUGCAACCAUCACUGCUUAAUCAGACUGCAACCACCACCCUGCCCGACACGGGCCAGGUUGUACUCUGACUUUGUGGGUUUAAACCAGUUUUUCUGUAUAAUUCCAUCAACUGUGAGCUUUCUAUUAAAUUGUAACUCCGACCUGAA